AUUGAACGCUGGCGGCAGGCCUAACACAUGCAAGUCGAACGGUAGCACAAAGAGCUUGCUCUUGGGUGACGAGUGGCGGACGGGUGAGUAAUGUCUGGGAAACUGCCCGAUGGAGGGGGAUAACUACUGGAAACGGUAGCUAAUACCGCAUAACGUCGCAAGACCAAAGUGGGGGACCUUCGGGCCUCACACCAUCGGAUGUGCCCAGAUGGGAUUAGCUAGUAGGUGGGGUAAUGGCUCACCUAGGCGACGAUCCCUAGCUGGUCUGAAAGGAUGACCAGCCACACUGAAACUGAGACACGGUCCAGACUCCUACGGGAGGCAGCAGUGGGGAAUAUUGCACAAUGGGCGAAAGCCUGAUGCAGCCAUGCCGCGUGUAUGAAGAAGGCCUUCGGGUUGUAAAGUACUUUCAGCGAGGAGGAAGGCAUUAAGGUUAAUAACCUUGGUGAUUGACGUUACUCGCAGAAGAAGCACCGGCUAACUCCGUGCCAGCCGCCGCUGUAA
rnacentral:rRNA from 1 species